rnacentral:rRNA from 1 species
GUGGGGAAUUUUGGACAAUGGGGGCAACCCUGAUCCAGCCAUUCCACGUGAGUGAAGAAGGCCUUCGGGUUGUAAAGCUCUUUCGUCAGGAACGAAACGGCGGGCUCUAACAUAGCCUGUUAAUGAUGGUACCUGAAGAAGAAGCACCGGCUAACUACGUGCCAGCAGCCGCGGUAAUACGUAGGGUGCGAGCGUUAAUCGGAAUUACUGGGCGUAAAGCGUGCGCAGGCGGAUUGUUAAGCAAGACGGGAAAUCCCCGGGCUUAACCUGGGAAUGGCGGUUUGAACUGGCAGUCUAGAGUGCGUCAGAGGGGGGUGGAAUUCCGCGUGUAGCAGUGAAAUGCGUAGAGAUGCGGAGGAACACCGAUGGCGAAGGCAGCCCCCUGGGAUGACACUGACGCUCAUGCACGAAAGCGUGGGGAGCAAACAGGAUUAGAUACCCCGGUAGUCC